GGACAGGUGGUCGAGCGGUCUAAGGCUCCGGUCUUGAAAACCGGCGUACGUUAUGCGUACCGUGGGUUCGAAUCCCACCCUGUCCGCC
rnacentral:tRNA from 1 species